GUAGCGCGUGCGCGCUCUGGGUGCUGUGGCGUGUUCGUCCGUUGGGAGUGCGUGUCGUGUAGGUGUUGCCGCUAUGAGUGGCUAGGCAGCAGGGCCGGGGGAUGGCGGGUGUCCUCUCGUUCCCUGGGCUGAGGAGCACUGCCCCUCACCAGUGGUGAGGAUGAGUCCCGCGGUCUGGGCCGUUCUCAGCUGGAGUAGGCUUAUAUGCAACUGGAUUGCCCUGGUCAAAAUCAUCUGCUGCUUUCACACUCCAGCCUUGAGAGUAGCUACAUCGUUUGACACUUCUGGGAGAUAUCCUUCGCACCACAGAUACCAUGCAUCAACAGAUACAGAGGAAGAUUGAAGAAACAUCAGGGACAGCCAAGAUAACAAGUCACAAGGAAGCUGGAAUUUCUGACCAGCCUGAACUGAAUACUUAGAUCUAAUUAAGAUGUCGUUAUCAGCCAUCUGUUCCUGGUCCUACUCUCUAUUUCUUCCAACAAAGAAGUGAUUCCAGGCAUGAAUUGGAGCAACAAUCACCUGAAACUACUGAAACGCUGCAAUGCAAGGGUGGGCCUGGCUUGCAGGGGAAGCAGCAAUUGGAGAAAUUGUUCCAAAUAACUUGGUGUCACUGUACGCAGCAGGGAGAAGCUCCAGAACACCUUCAAUACAUUGAUGACAUCAUCGUGUGGGGCAACACAGCGGAAGAAGUAUUUGAGAAAGGAGAGAAAAUAGUCCAAAUCCUUCUGAAAGCUGGUUUUGCCAUAAAACCAAAGUAAGGUGAAGGGACCUGCACAAGAGAUCCAGUUCUUAGGAACCAAAUGGCAAGAUGGACGUCAUCAGAUCCCAAUGGAUGUGAUAAACAAAAUAACAGCCAUGUCUCCACCA